UUACCCCUACGGGGGGCAGCAGUGGGGAAUAUUGGGCAAUGGGCGCAAGCCUGACCCAGCAACGCCGCGUGAAGGAAGAAGGCUUUCGGGUUGUAAACUUCUUUUGUCAGGGACGAAGCAAGUGACGGUACCUGACGAAUAAGCCACGGCUAACUACGUGCCAGCAGCCACGGUAAUACGUAGGCGGCAAGCGUUAUCCGGAUUUACUGGGUGUAAAGGGCGUGUAGGCGGGGAAGCAAGUCAGAUGUGAAAACCACGGGCU
rnacentral:rRNA from 1 species